rnacentral:tRNA from 1 species
GGUGUUGUGGCUCAGUGGUAGAGUGCUUGCCUAGCAUGUGAGGCACUGGGUUCAAUCCUCAGCACCACAU